UACGGGGGGGAGCAAGCGUUGUUCGGAUUUACUGGGCGUAAAGAGCGCGCAGGCGGUCGCUCAAGUCGCGUGUGAAAGCCCCCGGCUCAACUGGGGAGGGUCACGCGAUACUGAUCGACUGGAAGGCAGGAGAGGGUAGUGGAAUUCCCGGUGUAGUGGUGAAAUGCGUAGAUAUCGGGAGGAACACCAGUGGCGAAGGCGACUACCUGGCCUGUUCUUGACGCUGAGGCGCGAAAGCUAGGGGAGCAAACAGG
rnacentral:rRNA from 1 species